CCAGGUCUCUCCAACCCUGUUCCCGGAGAGCUACUGUCCUGUAGGUUUAUACCAGGGCACUCCAACCCUGUUCCCAGAGAGCUACUGUCCUGUAGGUUUACACCAGGGCUCUCCAACCCUGUUCCUGGAGAGCUACUGUCCUGUAGGUUUAUACCAGGGCUCUCCAACCCUGUUCCUGGAGAGCUACUGUCCUGUAGGUUUACACCAGGGCUCUCCAACCCUGUUCCUGGAGAACUACUGUCCUGUAUGUUUACACCAGGGCUCUCCAACCCUGUUCCUGGAGAACUACUGUCCUGUAUGUUUACACCAGGGCUCUCCAACCCUGUUCCUGGAGAACUACUGUCCUGUAUGUUUACACCAGGGCUCUCCAACCCUGUUCCUGGAGAACUACUGUCCUGUAGGUUUACACCAGGGCUCUCCAACCCUGUUCCUGGAGAACUACUGUCCUGUAUGUUUACACCAGGGCUCUCCAACCCUGUUCCUGGAGAACUAACAUCCUGGAGGUUUUCACUUCAACCCUAAUCUAGCACACCUGAUUCCAAUAAUUAGCUGGUUGAUAAGAUGUGAAAACCUACAGGAGAUGAGCUGUAAGGGCAUGUUUGGCAACAUUGAACACCACCUAUAAGGGCAUGCUG